UACGGAGGGGGCUAGCGUUGUUCGGAUUCAUUGGGCGUAAAGGGUGCGUAGGCGGCGCGGUAAGUCGGGUGUGAAAUCUCGGAGCUUAACUCCGAAACUGCAUUCGAUACUGCCGUGCUUGAGGACUGGAGAGGAGACUGGAAUUUACGGUGUAGCGGUGAAAUGCGUAGAUAUCGUAAGGAAGACCAGUGGCGAAGGCGGGUCUCUGGACAGUUCCUGACGCUGAGGCACGAAGGUCAGGGGAGCAAACGGG
rnacentral:rRNA from 1 species